rnacentral:rRNA from 1 species
GUAGGGAAUAUUGGGCAAUGGAGGCAACUCUGACCCAGCCAUGCCGCGUGCAGGAUGAAGGCCCUCUGGGUUGUAAACUGCUUUUAACCGGGAAGAAACCCCAGGACGUGUCCUGGGUUGACGGUACCGGAGGAAUAAGCACCGGCUAACUUCGUGCCAGCAGCCGCGGUAAUACGAAGGGUGCAAGCGUUAUCCGGAUUCAUUGGGUUUAAAGGGUGCGUAGGCGGAGCGUUAAGUCAGUGGUGAAAUCCUGCAGCUUAACUGUAGACUUGCCAUUGAUACUGGCGCGCUUGAGUGCGGUUGAAGUGGGCGGAAUGUGCCGUGUAGCGGUGAAAUGCUUAGAUAUGGCACAGAACACCAAUUGCGAAGGCAGCUCACUAAGGCGAUACUGACGCUGAGGCACGAAAGCGUGGGGAUCGAACAGGAUUAGAAACCCGAGUAGUCC